GAAUAUAAUUUAGGAUUUCGAAUUUGUUAGAGUAUGAGAAAGUUAUUAAACUACAUGGUCCAAUCAUUUUUAUGAACUUUAAUAAAAUCCAAAAUCUUAAAUCAAAUCAACACUAUAUAUACAUGCGUGUUUAUGUGUGUGUACAUAAAUUAAGAACAAACUAAAAGAUUAAAAAAAAACACACACAAAUUCUAAUGUAGUGUACAUUAUCUUAUAGUGUAUUGAUUUUUUUUUAAUUUAUUCUUAAUUUUAAUAUAUAAAUAUACACACACACACAGAAUGGCAGACCUUACUUUAGGCAAGUGGGGGCAACUACUGCAGUUUGAUAAAAAAAAUCCUCUAAAUUGCAUCCAUUAUUUAAAUCUUUGCCUUCAUAAACCUAAAUAAGAGUUGAAAAUUUGAUUCUAUGAACUUAAUUGAAAUGCUUUAUGAAUUGAAGUUGUGACUACUUAAAUUAAAUUCAUUAUUAAAUUACUCGUUAUGAACUAAAUUUCUGGCUUCGUCCUUUAUCUAUACACACACAUGCAUAUACAUACACCAAAAAAAAAAAAAAAAAAAAAGUUACGAACAUUUGUAAUAGCACUUUAGCUUUUAUGUCUAAAAUGCAGCAGGCUCACAUAGACUUUAUUUGAUCGAGCCAACCUAUAAUUUUGUGUGUCAUGAUGUGCCAGUAUGAUUUAGUUCACAAAUCCCACCAACGACGAUCCGACAAAUUUAAAAUUUUUUUGGACCACUCUAAAAUAAUUUACCGAUUGGACGAACUACAUACUCACAAACCUUGCAAGAUUUUUAUUACUUUACAGUACCAAUAAUGGAUGGCGAACUGAUGCAUUGUGACGUCAAGUAAACCCUAGAAAUCGUAAAGAGACAAACGAACAAGCAAAAUGGAAGCACUUUUCAGAAGAAUCACGUCGUAAAUGGACUGCUCUUGAUAUUGUGAAUUUGAAAGUUCACAGUUGUUUGGUAAAAUUGUUGUCUUGCUCAAAGAGUGGGUUCUCUUUUGCAGCAGCCAUACGUUUAAUUAUUGUCAUGUCUCUCUGGAAUCAUUCAUUUCUAGCUUGGACAAAAAGAAAAGAACAAAAAGAUAAAUGUUGUCAAAUUUGAGGGCCGUCAAUUAAAUAUCCUGAUUUCUUUCUAGAAGAGUCGAGAGAGUUCUUCAUUACUAUUAUUAUUAUUAUCGUUUCAAAUUUUCCUUCCUUUUGCUUAACGUGCAUGUCUAGCACAAAAUUGUCAUUGGUCAAAUAUUUUCAUCGUUUAAGAAAACGAAAAAAAAUGAAUGAAUAAAUAAAUAAGUAAGUAAAAAUAAAUAAAUAGAUAAAGCAAAGCAGCCAUUGAUUCAAAAGUCACAAGCACACCUUGUUUGAAAAAUGUAAUAACAUAAUAAAAUAAAAAUGAGAGAGAGAAUAAAUUUUAUAAGUAUUAGGUGGUCACAUGGGUUUGUUUGAUUUGUGGGUUGCAUUUAAAUGCAUUUUCUACAAGUAGAAAUAAAAUAAUACAUCGUGAUCUUAACAUCUUUUUUUCUUCUUUUUUUUUUCCUUUAAUGAUGAUCAUAACACGUUCUAAAAUAUUUUGAAUGUGGUUUUUAUUUGAAAAUAUUAAUUUGUUUGAUAUUUUCCAAGAACAAUUAUAUAAUUGUUGCCGUUACUAUACUUUUCUAUUUUUUGAAGUAAACUCAUCUCAAAGGAUAAAAAAAGAAGGUACCGAUUAAUUCAACUAAUGAGUUAUUAGUAUUUUUUUUUUCAUUAUCAGUAAUAUUACAAAUUUUAUUAAAAAGAUCACAUCAUUUAAAAUACAAAUUAAUUUUACAAGUCUAGAAAUUACUCAAACUUAUAUUAUGAUAUAUAAAAUUUACAACAAAUUUCGCAUCUUAAAUUAUAAGGAAUGCAUUAGUUAAACUCCCAAUUUAAUCCUCAUUCAUUAAUUAUAUGAAUCUGAUGACACUCAAACGGUAUUUCUAUAGCCAAUUUGGAUUAAAUAAUGGAUACUUGAGCCCCAACAUUGCUUCUUCUGGUGUCCUUUGUGCAUCAAAUUUGAAUAAAAAAAUAAUGUUAAAUUCUGUCAAAGAAUAGUUUAAAUUCAAAGUUUUAAACGGUCUAAAAGUUGAAUUAGGCAAUUGGGAGCUACUCCAAUUGCAACCUACAAAAGAAAUCAUCCUUCCUCACAUCAAACUUUCAAACUUUAUUUUUUUUCAUUUUUCUAUCUUUAUUUUAUUAUUGUAUUCAGCUUUUGUUAGCCAUUUUGAAACCCAUGUGAUGGAGAUUCUCUAGCUCACACCUUCCUUAGAGAGAAAACAAAAAGGAAAAAAAGAAAAAGAAAACUUGUUCUAGACUUUCAUCAUGUUCAAUAAAGUAUAAAAAAGAAAAUGAGACUUACCUUUAGACAGAGAAGGUACCAAC
rnacentral:lncRNA from 1 species